rnacentral:ncRNA from 2 species
GGGAAGCCGGUGGGAAUCCGGCGCGGUCGCGCCACCGUGACCGGGCAUGUCUCGCCCGGAAGUCGGACC